rnacentral:rRNA from 1 species
AUUGAACGCUGGCGGAAUGCUUUACACAUGCAAGUCGAACGGCGGCACGGGGGCAGCCCUGGUGGCGAGUGGCGAACGGGUGAGUAAUACAUCGGAACGUGCCCGGUCGUGGGGGAUAACGUAGCGAAAGUUACGCUAAUACCGCAUACGAUCUGAGGAUGAAAGCGGGGGACCUUCGGGCCUCGCGCGAUCGGAGCGGCCGAUGUCAGAUUAGGUAGUUGGUGGGUAAAGGCCUACCAAGCCGACGAUCUGUAGCUGGUCUGAGAGGACGACCAGCCACACUGGGACUGAGACACGGCCCAGACUCCUACGGGAGGCAGCAGUGGGGAAUUUUGGACAAUGGGCGCAAGCCUGAUCCAGCCAUUCCGCGUGCAGGACGAAGGCCUUCGGGUUGUAAACUGCUUUUGUACGGAACGAAAAGGCUCUGGCUAAUACCUGGGGCUCAUGACGGUACCGUAAGAAUAAGCACCGGCUAACUACGUG